UACGGAGGGUGCAAGCAUUAAUCGGAAUUAUUGGGCGUAAAGGGCGCGUAGGCGGGUAAGUAAGUCAGAUGUGAAAUUCCGGGACUCAAUUCCGGAGCUGCAUUUGAAACUGCUUGUCUUGAGGAUUGGCGGAGAGAACGGAAUUCCACGUGUAGCGGUGAAAUGCGUAGAUAUGUGGAAGAACACCGGUGGCGAAAGCGGUUCUCUAGCUAAUAACUGACGCUGAGGCGCGAGAGCAAGGGGAGUCAAAACAGG
rnacentral:rRNA from 1 species